AACGCACAUUGCGCCCGCCAGUAUUCUGGCGGGCAUGCCUGUCCGAGCGUCAUUUCAACCAUCAAGCCCUAGGCUUGUGUUAGAAGCCUGCGGCUGCCGCAGCUUCCUAAAUCUAGUGGCGGGCUCGUCGUCGUACCGAGUGCAGUAGAUAUUCUCACUCCGGGACGCAGCGGGUUCUAGCCGUCAAACGCUCCCUAAGCAUUCAAGGUUGACCUCGGAUCAGGUAGGAAUACCCGCUGAACUUAA
rnacentral:misc_RNA from 1 species